rnacentral:rRNA from 1 species
UACGGGGGGGGCAAGCGUUGUUCGGAAUUACUGGGCGUAAAGGGCGCGUAGGCGGCCUUCUAAGUCGAACGUGAAAUCCCCGGGCUCAACCCGGGAACUGCGUCCGAGACUGAAAGGCUUGAAUCCGGGAGAGGGAUGUGGAAUUCCAGGUGUAGCGGUGAAAUGCGUAGAUAUCUGGAGGAACAUCGGUGGCGAAGGCGGCAUCCUGGACCGGUAUUGACGCUGAGGCGCGAAAGCCAGGGGAGCAAACGGG